GUCCCCAUAGCUCAGUUGGAUAGAGCGUCUCCCCUCUAAGGAGAAGGUCGCAGGUUCGAUCCCUGCUGGGGAUA
rnacentral:tRNA from 1 species